ACAACUAACUCAGCAAUGGUGGGCGCCCCUCCCCCAGCCUCGCUGCUGCCUUGCAGUUUGAUCUCGGACUGCUGUGCUAGCAAUGAGCGAGACUCCGUGGGCAUGGGACCCUCCGAGCCAGGUGCGAGAUAUAAUCUCCUGGUGUGCCUUGUUUUAAGCCCAUUGGAAAAGCACAGUAUUAGAGUGGGAGAGACCUGAUUUUCCAGGUGCCGUCUCUCACCCCUUUCUUUGACUAGGAAAGGGAAUUCCCUGACCCCUUGCACUUCCUGGGUGAGGCGAUGCCUCGCCUUGCUUUGGCUCGUGCACGGUGCACUGCACCCACUGACCUGCGCCUACUGUCUGGCACUCCCCAGCGAGAUGAACCUGGUACCUCAGUUGGAAAUGCAGAAAUCACCCGUUUUCUGCCUCACUCACGCUGGGAGCUGUAGACCGGAGCUGUUCCUAUUCGGCCAUCUUGGCUUCUCUCUGAGCUAAUACUUUUAAAAUAUUUUGCACUCCACAGAGGAAGGUUUUAUAUGUAAGUCUGAGUUUUGUUUUUCUGAGUUGUUUUCAGUUGGUCCAUGUGAUUACAUUUUUAUACAUGGUAAAAAUUUAUAUAUUUUUUUCCAAGUCUUUUUCUUUUUCUUUUCUUUUCUUUUUUCUUUUUAUUUUUGAGACGGAGUUUUGUUCUUGUUGUCCAGGAUGGAGUGCAAUGGCAUGAUCUCAGCUCACCGCAACCUCUGCCUCCCGGAUUCAAGUGAUUCUCCUGCCUCAGCCUCUUGAGUAGCUGGGAUUACAGGUCUAGUGGCACUUGAAUCUUUAGCACAACAGGGAGCCUCUGUGCCCAGGGUUCAGUGGCUUCCAGGAAUUCUUCCCAGAAUAAACCUCAACAUUCUGCAGUCUUCAUGGGUGCUGGCGCAAGUUGCUUUUCAAGUUCUUCAUACUCUACUGACCUCAGACUUCUUCUCAGCCCGAGGAAAACAGCUUCCUCUUCCUCCUGGCCAUUCACCAAGACACACCAUUCUCUUCUCUCCUUGUCCAGGGCGCUUAGCAUGGUCACUUCCAAAGUUUGUGCAUUUUCAAAAGAAAAUGAAGACAUCCUUCCAUGCUGUUGCAAACAUGCCCUGAGGCAAGAAAUCACAAAGGCUCUUUGGAAAACAGGAAUAAGUGACUGCAGGUAUGACAGAAAGUGAAACAGAAUAAAUGAAAAUUAACGCCCCACAGAUGUAUUUAUCCACAAAUUUUAUCAUAAGGUGACUUGUUGGUAGUCACAUAAAAAGUAGAAAAAAACCCCUCUGAAUCAAGUAUUUUAAAGUAUUCCUGGGUAUCUUUCCUCUAAGUCUCAGAUUAUCCACACAGGGUCCACAUAGUUUUAAGAAUAGUUGGCAUGCCUAGGCUUAACUCUGUGGGACAGUAAAUUUUUUUAAAAAAAAGCUUUUGCCUGCUCUUGGAAGACAAUAUUGUGUUCAAUAUAGUGCAGUGCUCCACAGCUUGUAAAAUCAACUAUGUGGCACAAAUCUGAAGACGUCUUCAAAAGAUAUAUGGCAAGAAAGAUAUGUUGCCGGCUUUAGUCAUCUUUGCCAUUUCUCUUAUGGAAUUUCACUAUAGUGGCUGGACAUGUGCAACCCACAUCCUGUCUGGCCUUAAUGUGAUUUUUCUACAAAAGGAGAGGAGGACAAAAGUAAAAGCAAAAUAUGCUUUACAAUGAAAAAUGCAACCCUCAGCCACUGGGAUAAAAUUACAUUGACAGUGGGGGAGUUAUUUUCUUCCUUCAAAGAACGAUGUUUGAUGUUCCAACUAGACUCUAUGGUGAUGAAGCUCAUAAUUUGGGAGCUGAAUCAGAUUCGAAUUUAGAAAAGGGGUUUCAGACGUUGCUUAGCAGGGUGAUUUUAGGGGUUAACAUAUGAAUAGAGAUUACAUUAUAACUCAUCUGCCCUGUGUUUGUUGGACACAGCUUAUAUGACCUAUUCCUGAUGGUUGCUCAUAGAAGGAUAUUUAAAUUCUGUUGUAAUUCUUCCUUAUAAAAUCUGUGACAUUCUAAUAGAUAGAAAAUGUUUAAAUCUUGUCUAGUUUCUGCUUCGUUUCCUUCUUUAUGUUGAUUUCUUCCUAUUUAUCUCUUUUGUGCAUCACACAUAUUUCACUAUAAACUCGAUUUUUGUGGGUGAAAGGCCAC
rnacentral:lncRNA from 1 species